GAUGAACGCUGGCGGCGUGCCUAAUACAUGCAAGUCGAGCGAACGGACGAGAAGCUUGCUUCUCUGAUGUUAGCGGCGGACGGGUGAGUAACACGUGGAUAACCUACCUAUAAGACUGGGAUAACUUCGGGAAACCGGAGCUAAUACCGGAUAAUAUUUUGAACCGCAUGGUUCAAAAGUGAAAGGCGGUCUUGCUGUCACUUAUAGAUGGAUCCGCGCUGCAUUAGCUAGUUGGUAAGGUAACGGCUUACCAAGGCAACGAUGCGUAGCCGACCUGAGAGGAUGAUCAGCCACACUGGAACUGAGACACGGUCCAGACUCCUACGGGAGGCAGCAGUAGGGAAUAUUCCGCAAUGGGCGAAAGCCUGACGGAGCAACGCCGCGUGAGUGAUGAAGGUCUUCGGAUCGUAAAACUCUGUUAUUAGGGAAGAACAUAUGUGUAAGUAACUGUGCACAUCUUGACGGUACCUAAUCAGAAAGCCACGGCUAACUACGUG
rnacentral:rRNA from 1 species